UUGAGGUCAAAGGACACUGUUGUUCCUGUUGACCAAGCUCACUUCCCGGCAGAAGCCGAUUUGCAGAGUCCCGUGAUCUCGAGAGCUGCGUAUUUUGGCAUUCUGUUAGCACUGAGAAUGGAGAACUCCGAUCAAGCCUCACCGUGGUCCAUAUCUACUUGGGUUCCAGAGACGACAUUCCGAGCAUCAUGGGGCUCCCACAACGCCGAGGGAGGCAGCCUCCUGGCCACGGCUGCUUUUGCUCUGUGGGUCUUGUCUUUGGGUUAGUGUUGACUGUCGACUUGGUAGGACCUGAGAGACGGGCUUCUGGGUAUGUCUUUGAGGGCUACCAUUGCUAUGCUAACUGAGGUGGAACCAUUCCCUGUUUAGGAUCCUGCACUGUUUCAGUGGACUAAGAGAGCAGAGCAGAGACAUGUAUGUAUUCGUUGCUGUUUCUGAUUGCUGAUGCCAUAUGACCAGAUGCUUCAAUCCCCUGACACUUGAAUUUCCACACUGUGAUGGGCUCUACCCUGACACAUGAGUCGGAAUAAACCCUUUUCCUCUUAA